rnacentral:rRNA from 1 species
UACGUAGGGGGCUAGCGUUGUCCGGAAUCAUUGGGCGUAAAGCGCGUGUAGGCGGUCCGGUAAGUCCGCUGUGAAAGUCGGGGGCUCAACCCUCGAAUGCCGGUGGAUACUGUCGGGCUAGAGUACGGAAGAGGCGAGUGGAAUUCCUGGUGUAGCGGUGAAAUGCGCAGAUAGUCAAGGAGGAACACCCGAUGGCGAAGG